rnacentral:lncRNA from 1 species
CUGGCAACCCUGUGCUCCAGUAUUGGUGCUGAUCCUCUGUGCAAGCAGUUCAUUUCUUGUUUUUAGAAACACUUUGCUUGAGAUCGCUUUUAUUGCCAUAGUUUGAGACUUAUAGGUGGUAAUAAUUUGUGGGGUGUUUUUUUCAGUAAUUCAGAACUAUUGGUUAAAUUUUAAUAUUUUUAUUUCCUGGUUAGUCGUGUGAAAGAGAGAAACAUGGGUUAAAAAGUAAGGAUGUCUUUUACAUGGCCUGUAUAACCUAGCAGCCUAAGAGUAACAUGAGUACUGGGAGAAGUGGUAAACUAUGUUUCUCACCUUCUGUCCUAAGCUGAGACGAGUGAUUUCCUUAGUAAAAAAAAUGACCACAAGAGUUGCUCCUUUUCUGGCUUUUCAAGAAGGAACAGACAAUGAACAGAAAAAAGAAGUUAGCAACCUACACCUCAUUGUCCCUGAAGAAGACAACCCACUGUCGAAGGUCCCUGAAGAAGAGAAGCCACUUCCUAACAUCCCCGCAGAGAAAGCUUCAUCUGAUACAGAGAUUCGUGCUUCGAUGCUGUAUCCUCUAUGGCUCUGGUUGUGAGGAACACCUUUCUGUUCAUAAGCCAUGGCCACGGAGAUCCCAAGAGCUCCAUCUCUUCAAGUCUCUCAAGAAAGAGAGAACAGACCAGCAAGUGAAAAGCAAAGCAGCAACGGUAAGGCCAGAAUAUGGAAGAGGCAGGCAGUGCAGGAUGACAAAGCUGAAGAAGAGGCAGCAGUAGUGCAGUGAGGCUUGGGCAGCGAUGAGGACUCCAACAAUUGCACCAGAGGGAGGAGUGGACGUGCUCCUCCUGCAAGGGCUCCAUUCUGCAAGGGCAGGAGCUGAACCCACCCUGCUUGUGCCUUGAGGGAGGGACAGCAAAAAACUGGGAGGGGGAGGAAAAAUUUUAAAAAAAUUAAACAGACCACAAAAGACUGAUAGGGUAUUGGAAUCAAGUGCCCACCAUGCCACCUAGAAGGCAAGGAGCAAAGAACACUCAUAGGCCUCCUGAGAGGCAGGGAGUUCAGCCAGGUGGGCCCACCGUGUCUCCCAAGAGGUGGAGGCACAGCUGAAUGCCCCCACCAUGGCUCUUUAAAAGCAAGAAAAGGGACUGUAGAGAGUGGAGAAGGAGAUAGAGUGUGGAGUUUGGGAAAUCUGAGGUGCGAUUAGAGUGAAGCGUGAAUAAGAACUGUAAUGACAAAUAGAAGGUUGAGAUUAAUGAUAAUAGAAGUUACGGUACCUAAGAUUAAUAAUAACAUCUGUAAUCAAUAAAAAUGUUUUAUUUAAAAGACA